UUUAAACUGUAAAGAAAUAUCUUGCGUGUGGCACUGCGCAAAAAUAUUAACACGCAUUUUAACAAGUUGUCUUGGACAAACGAUUACACCAUUUUGUUCAAUUUGUUGUUGUUGUUGUUGUUUUUUUGAUAAAAUUAAACGUGAGUCGAAACUAAGUUUCUUAAACUCCCAUAUAAAUUUGUUUUUUUUUUUUUUUUUUUUUUUUUUUACGUAACUUUAAGCUGUUCGAUGCCGAGUUGUGUAAAAAUCGGCUGUAAAGAGUAAUAAAUUCUGUUUGUUUAACUCUGAUUGACAACAGUACUUGCUGCUUACCUCUAAACCAUUAUUUCAAGUUUUAAAAAUUAGAAACAUUUUUUUGUUUUGUUACAUUUUCCAAAUCAUUGCGUUCACAUUUUCCAUAAUCUUUCACUUUAUCGUUAUACUGUACUGGUCCUUAAAGUUCCCUUCUUUAGACGCGAAACGCUUGCAUUUAAAAAGAAAACACCCGCACUUUUCACUUGGCAGUCAUGUCAUGGUUUCGAACUCAUCUCAAACAAAUUGUACGUGCAACGAAAUAUCAACGAUGUGCCUUUGCUGAUAUGUAGGGCUUCUCUGGCGGUUGCGCGCUGCCAGGGUCGGUCAUAGUGAAAAGGUUUGCAUCUGUCACACUCUGGUCCGGCUGUAUUGUGCUUGCACUCGCACACUAGGCUUCCAUCCCGGUCUUUGACGCACCGUGAUGCGUGUCCAUUACACUUACAUCUGCCUCCGACCUGCAGGUCUGACACGGCGUAAAAAUAAGAAUCUCUGGCCAGCUCCGAGUCAUCCUCAUUUUCGUCUCCGAAAGUGUGCAGUCGGCUGAAAGUCACCUUAAUGUCAGUGGCAGUCACCCAGUCCUGAAGUACGGGUGAAUUGUCAAAGUCGUGCGCGGAGGGUCGCCCGUCCAGGGUGCUGAACGCGAUCAACCCGCCGGAGAGAGGGUGCAUGUCGGUGUGCGAAUCUGUGCAGAUGGCCUCUUGCUCGUUUUGCUUAGUGAUCGUGGCUUUGCUGGGCUUGUUGUACAUCUUUCUACACUGGGUCGAGUAGUACUGGAAAGGCACCCAAGACUUUCCGUAGUCCAUUGAUUUAAAGAUAGCCAUAGACUCUGGUCUUGGUGAGCAGAACUGCAAACUCACGUAGGUAACCUCGAAUUUCUUGUCCAGGGAUAAUGUUAAAGUGACGUUUUGAGGAUACUGGAUGUAAUU
rnacentral:lncRNA from 1 species